UGGCGGACGGGUGAGUAACGCGUGGAAAACCUGCCGUAUACUGGGGGAUAACACUUAGAAAUAGGUGCUAAUACCGCAUAAGCGCACAGCUUCGCAUGAAGCGGUGUGAAAAACUCUGGUGGUAUACGAUGGUUCCGCGUCUGAUUAGCUAGUUGGUGGGGUAAUGGCCUACCAAGGCAACGAUCAGUAGCCGGCCUGAGAGGGUGAACGGCCACACUGGGACUGAGACACGGCCCAAACUCCUACGGGAGGCAGCAG
rnacentral:rRNA from 1 species